rnacentral:tRNA from 1 species
GAUUAGAAAGCGAAUUUAUUGCACUUAGUUUCGACCUAAGUUUUGGUGGAAAUACCUCUAAUUU